rnacentral:rRNA from 1 species
GACGAACGCUGGCGGCGUGCUUAACACAUGCAAGUCGAACGGAAAGGCCCUGCUUUUGUGGGGUGCUCGAGUGGCGAACGGGUGAGUAACACGUGAGUAACCUGCCCUUGACUUUGGGAUAACUUCAGGAAACUGGGGCUAAUACCGGAUAGGAGCUCCUGCUGCAUGGUGGGGGUUGGAAAGUUUCGGCGGUUGGGGAUGGACUCGCGGCUUAUCAGCUUGUUGGUGGGGUAGUGGCUUACCAAGGCUUUGACGGGUAGCCGGCCUGAGAGGGUGACCGGCCACAUUGGGACUGAGAUACGGCCCAGACUCCUACGGGAGGCAGCAGUGGGGAAUAUUGCAAAAUGGGCGGAAGACUGAUGCAGCAACGCCGCGUGCGGGAUGACGGCCUUCGGGUUGUAAACCGCUUUCGCCUGUGACGAAGCGUGAGUGACGGUAAUGGGUAAAGAAGCACCGGCUAACUACGUG